rnacentral:rRNA from 1 species
UAGUCCACGCCGUAAACGAUGUCAACUAGCCGUUGGACUCCUUGAGGGUUUAGUGGCGCAGCUAACGCGAUAAGUUGUCCGCCUGGGGAGUACGGCCGCAAGGUUAAAACUCAAAUGAAUUGACGGGGGCCCGCACAAGCGGUGGAGCAUGUUGUUUAAUUCGAUGCAACACGAAGAACCUUACCUAGGCUCUAAUGUUAGCGCAAUCUGGUGAAAGCCGGAGUUCUUCGGACGUAUAGUAAGGUGCUGCAUGGUUGUCGUCAGCUCGUGCCGUGAGGUGUUGGGUUAAGUCCCGCAACGAGCGCAACCCUUGUUUCCAGUUGCCAGCAUGUAAAGAUGGGGACUCUGGAGAGACUGCCGGCGUAAGCCGCGAGGAAGGUGGGGACGACGUCAAAUCAUCAUGGCCUUUAUGCCUGGGGCUACACACGUGCUACAAUGGCAGAUACAGAGGGUUGCUAAACCGCGAGGUGGUGCUAAUCUCUUAAAGUCUGUCCCAGUUCGGA